CCCUUAGAUGUCCUGGGCCGCACGCGCGCUACAAUGACACGUUCAACAAGUACUUUCCUGGCUUGGAAAAGUUUCGGGUAAUCUUUAUAAUACGUGUCGUGCUGGGGAUUGAUCUUUGGAAUUAUAGAUCUUGAACGAGGAAUUCCUAGUAAGCAUAAGUCAUCAGCUUGUGCUGAUUACGUCCCUGCCCUUUGUACACACCGCCCGUCGCUCCUACCGAUUGAAUGUUCCGGUGAGCUCUUCGGACUGCGCGGUCUGCAGUUUCUGCGUUCCGUGCGGAAAGUUGCGCAAACCUUAACAUUUAGAGGAAGGAGAAGUCGUAACA
rnacentral:rRNA from 1 species